rnacentral:rRNA from 1 species
UACGAGGGGGGCGAGCGUUGUUCGGAAUUAUUGGGCGUAAAGGGUGCGUAGGCGGUUUGGUAAGUCUGAUGUGAAAUCUAUGGGCUCAACUCAUAGUCUGCAUCGGAAACUGCCGGGCUUGAGUAUGGGAGAGGUGAGUGGAAUUCCUGGUGUAGCGGUGAAAUGCGUAGAUAUCAGGAGGAAUACCUAUGGCGAAAGCAGGUAUCUGGGCCAUCACUGACGCUGAGCUGCGAAAGCUAGGGGAGCAAACAGG